rnacentral:lncRNA from 1 species
AUCUUGACCAUGUAUUAAUAAGCAGGGGAACAAAACAUGUUUUCACAAGUUUUGAUUGAUAAAAUUGAAAGAAGCAGACAUACAAGCUCACCAAACCAGUACUUUCUUCUUCCCUCCUUUUUUGGAAAUAUUGGGGAGUGAUUGCUAAUAUCAGCAAUGCCUGACUGUGUCAUGGGCUGGAUUUCAGAGGGCUUACAACAUAAUCUUUCUGCCAAGCAUUCGAUGUUACAUCUUUAGCUUACUGUUUGGGGUCUCGUGUUUCACAAUCCAAUUCUUGACUCACUGUACGUGUGUGAGUACACUUUGUUCCAGACUGUCUGUCAGAGGAACACUUCUUCCUAAAUGAAGAAAAGUGUUUCUGGUGAAUGCCAAGACUAUAUGAGGAGUCAGAGUGCAGAGCUGCUAUUUCUUUGUUCCUGCUGGUUAAUUGCUUUAAAGACAAAAAUCAAGGGCAAGUGUGCCACUAAGAAAACCUUUUGAAGGGCACACACCACUUGUACCUUUCGUGUGAUCACAAAUUGCAUUUUGCCAACUUUUGAUCAAGGUGACAAAUCUUGGCUCAGAAAAGAAAUUUAGCGAUGUGUCAGCCCCAUCAAUAAGCUCGAAGGAAAAGUAAUUCAUUUUUAAUGGAAAUUCUGUUUACAAAAUAGACUAGGUAUAUAACCAAACUCUAAGAGGAGAUAACUCACCCUGGCAAAUGGGCUGCAUACCUAAUAGAGUAAAAUAAAAGUGAAGCAGAACACAUUGUACUUAUAGAAGUGAAGUACAUGCAACAUUUUACAGUAACUACAACAGUGAUUUUACAUCAUACAGAAGCUUCUGUGUUCAGCCUUGAUUUACAUUCAUGAAGUAGGGGGAAAGCUGGGAAAGAUGGAAAAGAUAGGGAGCAAUUAUAUUAAGUAAAAUGUUAUUCCUAUUUUUUCAAAAAUCUUUAGACUGAUACAAGUUCCUUUUGGUCCCUAGAAUUUUGGGCAUCUUUGCCAGUUUCUCUCCUCCACUGGUUUAGCUACUUUUGCUCCUUAUCAAAUGUGAUCUCAUUCCCAUUACAGAUAUUGAGUCAUUCUCUCAAUUUGUUUGAUUCUAUUCUUUAAUUUGCUUUUCACUGAAACCCUAUAGACAAGUAGGGUCAUUAGUUUUAUUCCCAACUGGCAAAUGAGAAAACCUAGGUACCAAAUGGCUCUGCUGUCUGCUGAAAAUUACAGAAAUAAUCCAUCCAACAGCUCUGGGAACUCACUACUCCCAUUUGUCAGAAGGAAUGGAUAAAUGAUGCCACUGUUUGGCUAAAUGAACAUAAUAAGUUCCCUUUAAAAGUAUUCAACAUUUACCACAAACUCAGGAACACGGGGAAUAGAUAUAGAAACAAAAGUCUGGAAAUACAGAAACAAAAGUUCUGGAAAAUACAGUAACAAAAGUCAAAGCCUUACUAACCUACUAUAACUGAUGGGACUGGAGUAACACAAAGAGGCACACACAGGAUAACCAGUGGAUAUAUGUAAAAGAGACCACCAAACAUGUAUGAAAACAUUCCAAAGAUUUAAACAAUAAUACCAACAAGUUAUUUUAAAAAAUGGAAAAAAAAAGUGGAGGUAGGAGUUUAGGAAAGUAAGAUACCAGAUACACAUGGUACUAGAGUUCUCUUGUGGCACGGCAGGUUAAGGAUUUGGCAUUGUCACUACAGGGGCUUGGGUCCCUGCUGUGGCAUGGGUUUGAUCCCUGGCCCAGGAAAUUCCACAUGCACACAGGCUCAGCCAACAAACCAAAAAACAAACAAAAAACAAAACAAAACAAACAAAAGGUGGUGCUAAAAAUAACAUAGUUACAGGCUUCUGAAGGUCCCUCCCUCAAUGGGUCUAAGGUCUAGCAGAGAAAUAAAUAUGAAAGUGAAUAACAGUUUCAAAGCAACAUAAUUUUGUUAAUAAUAGCUAACAGUUUUUGAGCACUUCAGGCCUCCAAUUAUUAUGUGCAGUAAUUCAUUACAUUAUCAUAAUGACCCUAUGAGGUAGGGCCUAUUGCCAGUCUCACUGUAUAGGAAAGUAAACUGAAACACAGUCACCCAGAUGGUGAGCUGCAACAUUGGGAUCAGAAUUCAGCAUCAGUGGUGUAACACUUAGUCACCACUUAGUGUAACAGCAUUCUGUGUUGUCAAGGAAGGAGACUCUAUGUUAAAUCGUGUCCACUGGGGUUGACUGCAAAAAUAGCCACAAUGAUUCAUUCUCCCUACUGUCCUCGCCAUUUUUGGCUGACUUUGAAUUUCCCCCACCCCAUGAAUCAGGGCUGGCCUUGUGACUUACUUUAGCCAAUAGAACAUGGUGGGAGUAACAGAUGUGUCAGUCCUAAGCCUAGGACCCAAGAGGCCCUGCUUCUGCCUGUUUUCUUGGGAUGAUGAUGCUGCCAUGUAUGCUGGGAUAGCUUGCUGGAUCAUAUCACAUGGAACACAAUUGAGUCUGUGGGUCAGUCCCAGUCGAGCCCUCAGAGAUGUGAAAAAGUCUAUCCAAGGUCAGCAAAGUUGGCUAGGUGACCUGCAACCAAUGACAGAUCAUGAAGGAGUCUAGCAGAGAUCAUAAUUACCCAGACGAGCCCAGCCAACUGCCAACCCACAGAAUCAGGAACCAAAAAAACAGUUAUUGCUUUAAAGUAGUCUGUUACACAGAAAUAACUAAGUAAUACCUCUACCAUAUAAAAAUCUGUGAAGAUCAUGCUUAAAUUAUUUUUUUUUAUGGCUGCACCUGCAGCAUAUGGAAAUUCCCAGGCUAGAGAUUGAAUCCUAGCCACAGCUGCAACCUACACCACAGGUGCAGCAAUGCUGAAUCCUUUAACCCACUGCACCAGGCAGGGGAUCUAACUCGCACCUCCGCAGCAACCUGAGCUGCUGCAGUUGGAAUCUUAACCCUUUGCACCACAACAGGAAUUCCUUAAAUUAUUUUUAAGUCACAUAAAUGAUCUGAGAGGGGGAACAUGUCUUAGAAUUACCAAAAUAAAAAUAUUUUUGGAGGACCAAUAUGGCAAACUCUUAGGAUCUUAAAGCAGGACUAUUCUCAAAGAUACAAUUAACAUAGAGACAAAUGCCUCCACAAUCUCUGGUUAAUUACUUGAUAAGCUGCUUCUGAAAUGGCCCCCAACUUCCUUUCCAAGUCUCCUACAAAGCUGCAGUCAUGGUGUCACUGGGGUCUGUUGCCUCACCUGAAGGUCCAGCAAGGGAAGAAUCAGCUUCCAAGCCCACCACAUUAUUGUUGGCAGGAUCUGGUUCUCAAGGGCUGUUGGACUGAGGUCUUCAGUUCCUUGCCAGCUGUUGGCCAAAGGUUGCCCUCGGGUCGUUGUCACGUGGACCCCUUCCCAUGUAGCAGCUUACGACAUGAUAGUUUACUUCUUUAGAGCAAGCACACGGAAAGACACAGAGUCCACAAGAAAGAUGGAAGUCACACUUUUAUAACCUAAUCUUGAAAUUGAUAUGUCAUCACUCAUGGCAUAUUCUAUACAUUAGGAGCAAGUCACUUGGUCAAGUUCAGGCAUAGGGAAGGGCAUAAGGGUGUGGACACCAGGAUUUGUGGAUCAUUAGGAAAAACUUUAGGAGCAGCCUACCAGGUAACUAAAUUCUAUGAAAUUGUGAAGAGGUGGGUUUUCUAAUCAGGAACUUAUUCAUCCAGUUUCAAAAUUCUAGACCUCAGGAACCAACUCUUAAAACUUGGAGGAGGCCAUUUUUUUUAAUACAAAUUAUGCAGUGAUCUUAUGUUCCCAAAAGAAUAACAAAGGGUGAAACUAUAAAUAAGUUUUAAAAGGUUUAGGAAAAUUCUCAAAUGCUGGCUCGAUAAUGGAAUAUUAAAGGGGUGUGAGGAAUGUGUGCAGUGGAUCCCUAAUGUUUUCAGAGUGAUGUCAAGAAAGACAACCUUAUCUCCCUACCAAACAUCCCUCAGAGGCAGGCAAGAUGGACCAUUGACCUAAUCUGUUGUGGCAUUUCUUAUAUACUUAUGCAUAACACUAUGUGGGAAUGCAAUAAAAAUUUAAACAAGGUACUAAAGUUCAACAAAAUGGGAGGAUGGAGCUUUUGAAAAAUGGAGACAUGACAUUCCUCCAUGGUGUCUCAGACAUCUGAUGUGCCUGUGCUUUUUUAUAUUCGUUCAUCCACAGAAGCUCAUCUAAAUCAUAGAUUCAAAAGCCAUGUCUUAGUUCCUCACUAAGAACUAAGAAGAAAACAGUUUUGCAGAAUAUUACUGUUCAAGAGAGGAGGGAAAUAUUUGACUCCAUAUGACAGGACUCUCUUUUAUACCUACAUUAUGUUCAAGUGUUUAAAACAGCAAAGCCAUCUAUUUUUCCCUCAGGCAAUGUCUAAGUAGAUAUUUUAGGCAUACACUUGGGGUUUGGGGGGAUUUGUUUCCCUUGGGUUUUUAAAGAGAAGAAGGAAGGUGCGAAUAUUGAAGGCUUAUGCUUUACAAUACACAUAGUAGGGCAAGUAAGUGUUCAGUGCUAAUGCAGUAGCACUUAAUCAGAAGGUAAACAUCCCUCAGCAAAAAGAGUGAAUUUAAAAGUUUCCACAUAAGCAGUCAUACAUUUUGACAUUAUAAGAGCGGUAGCUUCUGUCAAUCAACCCAAAUUCUCUUUAAGCCUUAAACAUAUAAGUCACAUUGAAAGGGUUAUGCAUUUCACAAGUGGAUUUAUAUAUAAAUACUUUUGCUGGCUCCAGUUCAACACAACAAAAGAAGUCAAACAUUAGUCUGUAUUUGUAUUCCUUUGCUGAAGUGUUUUGACAUAAACUGCACACAAUCCUAGCUGGAAAGCAGCAGGCAGUUUGGAACUAACUGCUCCUCACACUUGCAUUCUUUGUGAUAUGAAAAUUUUUUUUCUACUUAGAAAAUUAGAAAGCUUAUGAGUGAAGUUUGCUCAAACUUAAGAACUGUUUAAAACAACAUAGCACUUCUGAACACUUUGAGUUUCGCACAAAAUUCACUUUCUACAAUGUCUCGGAAUGCCUAUAAGUAUCAAAUUCCCAAAUUCCAAGUGCACAAUAUAUAGUCAGCCUUUAUACCUUUAUACUAGACAGCACUUAAUACCUAUUAUAUCUAGAAUUCCCUCAAAACACACUUCUAUUUAUUUAACUGAUCCAGUUCUUCCAAUGCAGAGAAAAGUCAUUUAGUUGAAAGCACUAAAUAUCCACAUUACAUUGCAAAGUACUGUUGGAUACACUUAUGGAACGGAAUAACUUGAGAAAUUUUCAUAGUCAAUAUGUCUUUAUAGAGUUAGAAAAAAAUCUCAGGAGGUCAUCUGUAUUAGUCAGCUAUUCACACAACAAUGCUGAAUAACAAAGCACCCUAACACUCAUAGACUUGAAGCAACAAUCAUUUUUUCUCAUACCCAUCAGCAGCAGAGGGGCUGUUCCAGGGCCAAGACGGGUAGGACUAUAGGCUCCAGACUGCAGGAUCAACUGUAGGUGGAUCAGCAAUUGUCAGGAGCAUGUGGUCCUCAUUUCUCAUACUGAGACUCAGGCUGAAGCAGCAGUGGCUGCAUGAGGCAUCUUGUCCUCCCUGAGGAUCAUCAAAGUACAAAGAGGAAAACCCGAUCAUGCAAACACAUGCAAAGCCUUUGCAACUUAUGGUCGAGUCCAAAGUCGUUGAACUGGGAU